CUCUCCACUCCUUCCUCCACUCCCUCACAACCUUAUCCUCCACCCCACCCACGAAAAUGCUGCUCCCCUAGCUUCCAUGGCCGGCCAUGGCCAUGGAAAUCCCCCAAGAUGAAGUUCUCCUCCUCCCUCAAGCUCAUCCUCACCAUGAGAGCAUCUCUCUCUCUCUUUUCCCCUAACCCUAGCUGAUUUUCUCACCUCUUAUUCUUCCUCCAUUGCUAAGAUUGGAUCUUGAUGCAGGUGCAUGUUGGUCCAAGCAUGGAGAAUCUUGAGCUAUCCUCAGAUCUGAAGUUCAUGAGCAAAGUCCAAAUCGAGUGAUUCAAAGUUCCACAGAUAGAUAUUGAAAAGAUCUACAACUUGGCGUUGGUCUCAUCCUCAAAUUGUUUACGGAUUUUCCACGAUCAAUAUCUGGUCAGAUCUGACUUUGUCGAAUUAAACCAGGAGCUUGGAAACGAGUUUUUGGAUCAAACCAGUUGGGGGAUAUUUGGUUUAUACCAUGGUGAUAACCGAGAGAGGCAAUUGCUAAGUUGUGAUGCACUCAUACCUUUACUAGAUGCGAACAAUUCCGGAGAAGAAGAAGAAGUGGAAUCGGAUGAGAAGAUUAUUUAUAUUGUUGGAAUUCUUAUAUUGAUGGAGUUGAAGAAGUACAUGGACAAAUAAGCCAAGGCAAGCCAUCUUUUGAUCUCUGACUUGGUGUCUAGUUGGAUGUCAUUUGUUGAUGUCCAAAGCACCUAAAUUCUAUGUGUGUUAUUCUCUCUAUUUAUGUCAUCUAUGUGUGAUUGCAAGUGGGGUACUCCCUAGUGGUGAUACUCCACUAUUGUCUUUAUGAUUAUGGGAUGCAUGGUAUCAUGGCCGUGUUAUUCCUCUUGGUUAUCUUGUAUGCUCGACUUGAGCAUGUUCCAUCUCAAGAUAAUGACUUACACCACACCCACCACUUUUGUAGUAUAGAGGUAUCAAUGCCAUGAUCUUGGUGUAUUCUCAACUUGAGAGGAGUAUGCCGUGUACCCAUUGGAGAGUAUGUUUGAUAGUGUUACUCCACUAUCUAAGUUGUAUUUUUUUAGCACCACAAAUCUGAAAGAAUAAUCCUCCUUAUGUUGUCCCUAUACAUGCUUAUCCUAAGUAUGUAUGAUCCCCUUAACACCUCAAUUAUCAUCCCCUUGUGGUAUGAUGGCUAGCAUCAUGUCAUUGUGACUCUUAGUUCCUUCAUAAAACUAUAGGUUGGGAACCCCCUUGGAAAAAUACCUUGUUGAAAAGAAUUUUUGAAAACCUUGAGUGAGUUGGACUUACCCAAGCGUGUGUUUAUGAAAGGAAAGGAUCUUGGCAAAGAUGGUUGAAAAGAAAAUCUUGUUUUCGAAAACUUUGGUGCCUAAGUAUUCACCCGUGACAAUUAACCCGCGCAACCACAUUACCCUGGGGUGGGACGGGGCUUAGCUCGUAGUUUGUUCUUCUUAACAUGGGACACCGCACAACUAUAUAAGGGUAAGGUUACCCCUGAAUCCGGAUUGUCGUUGGUGGAGACAAUAGUAUAACGGGAGGCCUUCGGGGCUGACCCGUCCGGAAGACACUAUGGGUCUCCUGGCUUGGCGGUGGAGCCACGCUCAAAGUGAGGUGAGCUGCCACGGUGCCGGGGAGGUACAUACUCCAUAGGGUAGGAUCCCGUGCUAAGACGAAUAGGCGAAAGGCUAUGUCCGAGUUUUUGUCAUGGCAUAGUUGAUAUGCAGGGAUGAUGCCCACAUGAUAAACUCGCGGAUCUUGUGGGGAAAGUGUGCAAACUCUGCAGAGUCAAAUCUAUUCGAAUAGCCGUGUCCGCGGUCAUGGACGGUUGAAAUGGUUGUUGCUUAGCCUGAUGAGUUUUGUUUGAGAAAGUGUUUACCAAAGGAAAAAGGAACUUGUUUUCGGAGUACUGGAAGGGUACUAAAAUGGUUGGGUUGACCAUAUGGAGAUGGUCGGAAAGGAAAUAAACUGGGUUACUCCCUUCCUAGUGUUUUAUGUUGUAGAACUCUUUUGAAGUAUCUUCUUAAAUAAAGAUAUAGGUAUGUCAUUGGAAUCCUCUAGCAUUUCCAUCAACUGAGAUGGACUUAUGCUACCUCAUCUCCAAUAAAGAUUUAGAUAUGUCAUAGAACUUCCUUAGCGUCCCCAUCAAUUGAGAUGGCGGCAUGCUAUAUCCAUAAGAGAAACUGACGCUCUUGUGCAUGCUAUAUCCACGAGAGAAACUAUGUCUCUUCCACAUGCUAUAUCCACAAGAGAAACUGAUUCUCUUCCCCCUGCUAUUUCCACUUGUGAAAUUAGCUCUUCCCUCUUGUCAUCUUAGAUUAGCAUUUGUUAUCUUGCACUCUUGCAAAGUACCUUCUUGAUGGUUUGCGAGUACAAUUCCAAAUGUACUCACGGCUUUGUCCCUGGCUAUUUACUUGGCCAGACUUGGAGGAACACGACGAAUGAAGAAGGAGUUGGCGACGUCUAUGCGAGCUAGGAACGUCUUCCAAGUCAGUUGCAUGUAGGGUUAUGGCAGAUGACUUGGGUACUGCGCUGCUGAAGUGUUGAUGCUACUCUGAUGUUUAGAUAGGCCCUUCGAGGCUAUUAUGUAAGAAUGGUCAUGUGGCCUUAUUGUAAUUUUUUUUUAUUCCGCUUUGUAAUGGAUGGUGUAAUUUGAUAUCAGUUCGGUUAUGUGUUCACGGCGCACUGAUCAUGGGAUCGUGAACUGUAUACAUAACAGGGUAUUUCGGACAGUUAGUUCGGGGUCCCCACAACCGCUCCCGCGGCAGAGGAGGGAGCCGACACCGCAGUCCUCGGCGCGUGCGCCCACGCCGCCCCUCGUCAUCGUGCCGCCCGCGGGUACGCCGCCUUCCGCGGGGGCGUCUUCUUCGGCUGUGCCUCUUUCUGCAGCGUCUGGCCGCGGCGCCCAGGGUGAGCCGGCACGCCGGCCAACUUUGGAUGAGAUGUUUCCGCGCCG